AUGUGGCUGUGUUCAGAAUUAACCAAUCACAUUCAAACUCAGGUUUAAAGUGACUCUGAUUAAUCACAAAGUUCAGCUGUUCUAGGAGGAUUUUCUAUCCACUCUAUAUACUGAUUUAGUGCUUGUCCAUUUUAAAUAAUACAGAAGGUACAGAGCUUUAAAUAUUGGUUAAAAUAAAUCACAAGUAGAUGCGUUUGUGUAGUGGUUGUUUAGUUUCCCCAAUGUCUGUACAUUUUCAUUGGACCGCAUCCACUAGAUUACUCAGUUUAAAUGUCUUGUGUAAAUAGUCUUCUUUGGUAAACAAUGUUUCAUGUGCUUUCAAUGUGCUCAGACACGUAAGACAAUUUAAAACAAAUGCAUGCAUAUAUUGAGGUGCACACAUAGUCUGUAAUGACAUUAAAUUCUCAGCUCCAAACACAUCUUUCCCAUUAACUCAGUGCAGUGACAGAAACAUUUGUAUUUCUGGUGUUUUUCUCAGUCUAACGUCAGCCUGAACUCACAUUUCAGAAUCAGAUUUAUUUGCCAGGUAUGUGACACACACGAGGAAAAAGGACUCUGGUUGUACAUUGCAAACACAAUGAUACGGUGAUAAAAUCAAACACAGGCGACAGUAAUUUCUCCUGUUUACACGAAGGCUUAUCUUAAUUUCAAAACAGCUGCAAGCAACAGCAGUUUUAGCCUCUUAGCAAUAACGCUUCUAAAGAAAUGUACCGUGGUUAAUGUCUGUCAGUUCAUUGUUCCUUUACAAUUGUUUGCUGCACGUAGACCAGAAUAAUUCCUACAAACCCCUGCCCAUCUUCUAAAUUACUUUUACCUUGUUUUUCUAGAUUGUCAUCCCUUAAACAAUUACAUGCAACGAAUAAAUUGUGUUCAUAUAAAUCACGUUUCUCAUAACAACAGAAAAUCUUAUAUCAAUCAACCUCUUCUACCCCGUCCAUUUUGACUCCCUCAGGUCUCCAUAUCUGAUGUGUUACAACCUUUAAAGGAAUCAAACAUUCUACAGUCAAAACCUCUUCAACAGAUAUUCUCCGACACAGUAUAUAAAAAAUAAAUUAAUAUGAUUAAACUCACUGAGUAAAGAAAAACACAAGUUAUUGUUCUUUUUUUCUCUCUCCCAAUACUCAAAAAGUAAAUGAAUGAUUAAAUGAAACACACUUAUAAGCAUUUUCAAAAACACUCUUAAUAUCUCUUAAGAAUAGUAAUGACAGUUUUAAUCAGUCUUUAUUUUGACUGUUUUUGCUAAAAUGAUUUAAAAGAUAAAAACUGUUCUCUGAUGAGUUAAAGGAUUAAAAUGUUCUCUCAUCUUUCUAACCUAUUUUGUGACUUUACACUAGAGGCCGUCUCUCCUAAAGGUUUUUCUUUCCCUAAGUGGUAAGAUAUUUUAACAGGUUUCUCAAACUGUGCUUUGUAUAUUUUAAUGUAAUGUAGAAUCUCUUCUUGUGUCUAUGUGACUAGAUUUUCCCUAGUUAACUAUAAAAUCAAUUUUACAUCCAUUAUACUUCUCUCAGCGUCGUUUUGCACACAGGACAGGCUUUUUCAUCAGAUUUGAAGUUUUAUGGGCUAAGACCCGAUGUUUCAAGAUCCUAAAAACACCCCUGGUGAUGGCACUCCUCAUUUCAAAACAAGUUUUCUUUCAACUUUGGACCGAUGCAAGAUGGAAGCAGUGGAUUCACAUUGACUAACAACAUGUUGAUCAGCAGGGCAGACUGCACAAUGUCAGUGCACGUCUCUCAGUAAAUAAUAAACAUCACCUAUUCAGUCAAGUUAUAGUAUAAAUAGCAUUUUACCUUUGAAAAUGUAUUAGAGGAAACCUGGAAAAGCCCGUUUGAAUGGAGCUGAUGCAGCUGAUAAUAUUAAUAUCCAUCAAGUAGCCUCUUGAAAUCUAUAAUUUACAGGGGCUAUGCUGAAGUUUGGCAGUAGAUGCUGGAUAAUCAGGCGGUACCAGCGUAGACCCGUCCAGACUUCUUUAGCAGGUCCCACAGACCCAGGGGAAGUACAUGCACCUUCAGCCAGUACUAGUAAAGCCAGAGAUGUACAGAACAGUUGCUGCUCCACCAAAUGACCCAGCAGAUUGGCCCCCAGUCUUAUCUGACUUCAUGAGAGUUGGUGCGCAGAAGUCUUUUCAAACCAUUUUUCUAGGUUUCUAUUCAGGCUUCCUACAGAGACGGUUAAAGGAGGGAGGUAGUAGUGAGAGCACUGUGGUGUCAGGUGUGACUGUAAAGCCAUGGUAAAUUGUUCACACGGCUCACGAGUUAAUAGAAGGGCCCAAAGCAGAAAUUUGCUAAGGGCCUCAGGGAGGUCAGGACCAGCUCAGAAUAACUGCAUGGUUCGCAGCUUAAGUGUAACGCCAAGUGAAUCAUAUAUGAAACAUGGGCUUUAGAGACCUCUACAUCAUUAGUGUGAUAAGUUUUCCCCCCAAAAACCUGAUGUAUACAGUCAGAUACAUGCAAUGCACAGAUAAUCCACCAGGGGGCCGAAAUUCUUCCACCAUAGGUCCUUCGAUUGAGGCGGCCAAAACGGAGGUUGUCGAUCGGUGACCCGCAGGUGGUUUUCAAGAAACUUUUGCCAAUUUUGAAGAAGUUAAGUUUGGCAGGAGACCUUACAGAGCCUGGAGCGAGCAGUCAGGAAACACACAGAAACAAUGACUGCAAACGCUGUGCAUCCUGUCUUGCCUGAAUGUGAACUUCUGCCAUCAAGAAGAAGAAUCAGAGAGCCAAGAUGUAACUCAAACACACUUAUGCUAUCGUUCAUCCCGACCUCUAAACUGCUGAACUCUACAACAAAAUCCUAGUACAGUGGAGAAAAGUGCCAUGAAAGCACCAGACUUUUGCAUAUAGCACUUUAUUUUUUACAGUCAUGUUGUCAGGACAGUCACAUAUGUCUCUCAUGUCUUAAUAUGUCUUGUUGAUUCUAUUCAUAAUGAGUUUUUAUUACAUGUUUGUGUUCUGAAGCAACAGGUUGUAACUAAGACAGAUUUCACCUCAGGGACAAUAAAGUGUAUGCUUUUCUA